rnacentral:rRNA from 1 species
AACGAACGCUGGCGGCGCGCCUAACACAUGCAAGUCGAACGAGAAUCCGGGGCAACCCGGUAGUAAAGUGGCAAACGGGUGAGGAAUACAUGGGUAACCUACCCUUGAGAAGGGAAUAACCCGCCGAAAGGUGAGCUAAUACCCUAUACGCUAUCUUUUUUUCGAAAAGGAUAGGAAAGCCGGGUCGAGGACCUGGUACUCAAGGAGGGGCUCAUGUCCUAUCAGCUUGUUGGUGGGGUAACGGCCUACCAAGGCUACGACGGGUAGCUGGUCUGAGAGGAUGAUCAGCCACACUGGCACUGAGAUACGGGCCAGACUCCUACGGGAGGCAGCAGUGAGGAAUAUUGCGCAAAUGGGGCGAAAGCCUGACGCAGCGACGCCGCGUGGGGGAUGAAGGUUUUCGGAUUGUAAACCCCUUUCAUGAGGAAAGAUAAAGUGGGUAACCACUUAGACGGUACCUCAAGAAGAAGCCACGGCUAACUUCGUG